ACCUGAAAUAUUAAGGACACUGGACAAGCAAUAGAAGAGUUGGAAUGCUCAGCAACUCUGAGAAGCCACUAAAGUAGAAGAAACAGAAACUGUGCCACCCACUAGAAUCCCUUUAGCAACCAGAAGUGCAGACUUGGUGCCCUGCUCAUACAAACAUAGGCCCACAGUGGAAACUCUGAAGUCGAAGGGAAAGGAGCUGAGCCCCCAUAGGAGGACACAUCACCAAGAACCAGAGUUAGGUCACUGCAAAGGGAACAGCAAAAAGAACCUCUGCAUGCCUGCCAGCCCUGAUUCGUAAGACUGAGCCUGGAACAGCCAAUUAUUGAGGUACAGAAAUAAUGACAAAGGCCUCUUGACACAAGUAAAUGGCCACCACCACAAGAACCCUUAAACACUCUUGGAGUUGAGGAGAGGCCAAAGGGGAGCACCCAGUAUUGAAAAUGAACCUGGCCUAUAACAAAAGGCAGGUAUUUUCUGUGAGGUGGACGUAUCGUUCUAUGGAAAUAGGCAUCUUGUAGGUCAAGGACCAAAAACCAAUCCCGUGACUUUAGUGAAGGAAUUAUGGCUGCCAGAGUCACCAUAUUGAACUUCUGAGAAUAUACAAAUUUAUUUAGUAACCUUAAAUCUAAUA